GUGGCUGUAGUUUAGUUGUAAGAAUUCCAUGUUGUGGUUGUGGAGACUUGGGCUCGACUCCCAACAGCCACA
rnacentral:tRNA from 1 species